rnacentral:rRNA from 1 species
GUAGGUGGCAAGCGUCGUCCGGAAUUAUUGGGCGUAAAGCGCGCGCAGGCGGUCCUUUAAGUCUGAUGUGAAAGCCCACGGCUCAACCGUGGAGGGUCAUUGGAAACUGGGGGACUUGAGUACAGAAGAGGAAAGCGGAAUUCCAAGUGUAGCGGUGAAAUGCGUAGAGAUUUGGAGGAACACCAGUGGCGAAGGCGGCUUUCUGGUCUGUAACUGACGCUGAGGCGCGAAAGCGUGGGGAGCAAACAGGAUUAGAUACCCUGGUAGUCCACGCCGUAAACGAUGAGUGCUAAGUGUUAGGGGGUUUCCCGCCCCCUUAGUGCUGCAGCUAACGCAUUAAGCACUCCGCCUGGGGAGUACGGCCGCAAGGCUG